UAGAACGUCAGAAGGAGAACACUA
rnacentral:piRNA from 1 species